CCUACGGGGGGCUGCAGUGGGGAAUAUUGCACAAUGGGCGAAAGCCUGAUGCAGCAACGCCGCGUGCGGGAAGAAGGCCUUAGGGUUGUAAACCGCUUUCAGCAGGGAAGAAAAUGACGGUACCUGCAGAAGAAGGUGCGGCCAACUACGUGCCAGCAGCCGCGGUGACACGUAGGCACCAAGCGUUGUCCGGAUUUAUUGGGCGUAAAGAGCUCGUAGGCGGUUCAGUAAGUCGGGUGUGAAAACUCUGGGCUCAACCCAGAGACGCCACCCGAUACUGCUGUGACUUGAGUACGGUAGGGGAGCGGGGAAUUCCUAGUGUAGCGGUGAAAUGCGCAGAUAUUAGGAGGAACACCAGUGGCGAAGGCGCCGCUCUGGGCCGUAACUGACGCUGAGGAGCGAAAGCGUGGGGAGCAAACAGGAUUAGAUACCCCGGUAGUC
rnacentral:rRNA from 1 species